CAAAGGUAGCAUAAUCAUUAGUUUUUUAAUUAGAAACUGGUAUGAAUGGUUGGACAAAAGAAACACUGUCUUUAAAAUGUAUGUUGAAAUAUACUUUUAAGUGAAAAGGCUUAAAUAUUUCAAAGGGACGAUAAGACCCUAUAAAGCUUUAUAUAUUAUUUAAAUUCAGUUAAUUUAAAUUAAUAAAAGCUAAGUUUAACUAUUUUAUUCCAUUGGGGCGAUGAGAGUAUAAUUAAAAAUAACUGCUUAAGUAUAAUACAGUUAUAGUUGAAUUAAAUUAAUAAGAUCCUAAUUAAAGAUUGAAAGGCUAAGUUACUUUAGGGAUAACAGCGUUAUUUCUUUUGAGAGUCCAUAUCGAAAAAGAAGUUUGCGACCUCGAUGUUGAAUUAAAAUAUCUAUAUGAUGCAGCCGUUAUAAGAGAGGGUCUGUUCGACCUUUAAAUUUUUACAUGAUUUGAGUUCA
rnacentral:rRNA from 1 species